CCAAGAGGUAUCGAUACCGAUAGCUCUAAUAAAGGGAUGGCGAUUCUAUUAAGCGAAAACAGCAUUCCGUGCAAAUGCACAAAGUGCGUUUCUCGUUAGAAUCGCCAUAUAUCCCCUUAUUAAUUAGGAUCAUUGUCAAAAAUCUCCUGGCAAUGUGAAACCAGCUGGAAAGGUGACUAUUGUAUCUAGCAGAGUGGCC
rnacentral:lncRNA from 1 species